GAUGAACGCUGGCGGCGUGCCUAAUACAUGCAAGUCGAGCGAACAGAUGAGGAGCUUGCUCCUCUGACGUUAGCGGCGGACGGGUGAGUAACACGUGGAUAACCUACCUAUAAGACUGGGAUAACUUCGGGAAACCGGAGCUAAUACCGGAUAAUAUAUUGAACCGCAUGGUUCAAUAGUGAAAGACGGUUUUGCUGUCACUUAUAGAUGGAUUCGCGCCGCAUUAGCUAGUUGGUAAGGUAACGGCUUACCAAGGCAACGAUGCGUAGCCGACCUGAGAGGGUGAUCGGCCACACUGGAACUGAGACACGGUCCAGACUCCUACGGGAGGCAGCAGUAGGGAAUCUUCCGCAAUGGGCGAAAGCCUGACGGAGCAACGCCGCGUGAGUGAUGAAGGUCUUCGGAUCGUAAAACUCUGUUAUUAGGGAAGAACAAAUGUGUAAGUAACUAUGCACGUCUUGACGGUACCUAAUCAGAAAGCAACGGCUAACUACGUG
rnacentral:rRNA from 1 species